rnacentral:rRNA from 1 species
UACGUAGGUGACCAGCGUUGUCCGGAUUUACUGGGCGUAAAGAGCGCGCAGGCGGUCGUUCAAGUCGAGUGUGAAAGCCCCCGGCUCAACUGGGGAGGGUCACUCGAUACUGAUCGACUUGAAGGCAGGAGAGGGAAGCGGAAUUCCCGGUGUAGUGGUGAAAUGCGUAGAUAUCGGGAGGAACACCAGUGGCGAAGGCGACUACCUGGCCUGUUCUUGACGCUGAGGCGCGAAAGCUGGUGGAGCAAACGGG